rnacentral:rRNA from 1 species
AUUGAACGCUGGCGGCAGGCCUAACACAUGCAAGUCGAGCGGAGCGUCGGACGGGUGAGUAAUGCCUAGGAAUCUGCCUGGUAGUGGGGGAUAACGUCCGGAAACGGGCGCUAAUACCGCAUCCUAGCAGACGAGCCUCGGUCGGCGUAGCUAGUUGGUGGGGUAAAGGCAUACCCGGGCUACGAGCCGUAACUGGUCUGAGAGGAUGAUCAGUCACACUGGAACGGAGACACGGUCCAGACUCCGACGGGAGGCCGCAGGGGGGAAUAUUGGACAAUGGGCGAAAGCCUGAGCCAGCCAUGCUGCGUGUGUGAAGAAGGUCUUCGGAUUGUAAAGCACUUUAAGUUGGGAGGCGUUACCAACAGAAUAAGCACCGGCUAACUUCGUGCCAGCAGCCGCGGUAAUUC